GCACCCUCAUGUCCCAUCCAACCAGGUCAACAUCUACAAGUGCAUUGCUGUGCAUGAAAAAACACCGCAACAGGAUAGUAUUUGUACUUACAAAUACUAACCUGCUGCAGAGUUCAUUGGUUUCUUGCAGCCUAAUAGGGCCACAUGUGUAGACGCUGACAUGUUUACUGCAGAGCUAAUUAGGCAACUCCUCAAGAAAUAUCUUGUAUAGAUGUGUGCCCACCCUUACCAUUACUGAUUCAUAGGAGCAAAAGAAGACAGAACCAGUAUACCUAGGAUGAUUUUUAAUGAAACAUUUGACUUUCUCAAAGUAUAAAUAUUUUUUGAGGGGAAGAUUACCCAAUUUUCUCAUAUAGUUAAGGGAUAACAAAGUUUCAACACAAUCAAAUAUAUGCAUGUGUUCCAGUUUUGAGAUUAUACGUCCUCUGCAGUGCCUCACUCUAAAAGUCGUGAUGGUUAGAUAUUGCUCAGAUAAUGAAUAUGUAAGAAACCACAAUUAACUUAAACAAACUUUUAAACCCAAGAAAAUCCUACAGCUCAUAAAGCUUAUGCAGAUUAAAUGUUUUCAGACAUUGUUUCCUUUAUCUCUUUGAAAGAAAAUUAAGAAGAGCCAAUUCCACCUUGUGUUCCCAAAGCUUGUGUGAUUGGCAAGGAUAAGGAAGUUUCCCAAUAUUUAAUGGUUUUUAAAUGAAGGCUGUUACUGUUCCUAUAACAUCAACUAUAUGUAUUAAUUGGUUUGCAGAGUUCCAGGUUCCAAACCCCAAGAUUGUGUUGUCUAAGGCCUAAUCCUGCAGACACAUAUGCAUGUAGUUAAUUCUGAAUGUAGCACUAUCAGUGAGAUUGCUAACGUAAGUAAAAACAGGCAUGCCUUUUAAGUGCCUAAAAGUGUAACAGCUAUAAAUGAAAGUAAAAGUAACAGUAAACAUUUUAAGUUAUAAGUGGUAACAAUACCACUUUUCUCCUUCAACAGUUUAGUUCACUGGCUUUCAGACUAUAGUCUGUGGCCCACAGGUAGUCUAUAGAGGAUCACAAAGCAAGAGAAAUGGCUCCAUGGAUUGAGUGAAGUAAAAGAAUUAAGAGACUACAAGAAGAAUUUUAAUGGAUUUGAAAGGCACUGUAUCAAGGACUGGCAAAGGGAAUGCUUUUCCACAUAGCACAAUGAGUGGAUAUAACACAUUUUCUCAAGAUAUAAAUAAGGUCAGAAGAUUAGCAGGACUUGACACUACUGGCAACAACAUACCAGACAAGGUGGAGCAUUUUUCUGACCUGGUAUGCAGUUCCUGUGUAAAUCUUGAUUUCUUGCCCAAUUCCCACAUCAUUAUCUGAACAAAUAUUUGAAGUUAACCCCCUGUAGAACUCAUUCUUCAGGGUGAUUGUUUUACGGGCUUCUAUCUUCUAAGCAAGCCAAACCCAAGAAAGUGGAGACAGACACAGACCAUUUCUUCGUUCUGAAGAGCAAACAGAGGGUCAGAUUUUGGGUGCUAUCACCCUGAUUGGGAAACAAUGUAGAGCACUGACCUAAACAAGCUGCGAAUGAAAGUAGAAGUUCUGAUUAGCUGAAGAUUUUACAGUGAAAACAAGGGGGAGUUUGAAGUUGGUUUUCCAAUUUCCUGUAUUGGUGUGAAUCAAGACAUGCAUGGCUGAAUUCUUACUUCAGUGAAAAAAACGUUAUAAAUCAUAAGAAACUCUGGCCCUUUGCUACAAAAUAUCCAAUGGUAAGAGUAGAUUUAUUCAAACUGCAUCAAGUAAUUAGACAAAUGUUGUUAGUGGUUUCAAGUUUGCUUGUAAAAUACAAUUAGAACCACUAUUUUUCUCAUUUAAAUGCAGCAGUAACAUAUUGUAAUGUUUUUUCCUCCCUCUGGUUUCCCUUCUGCCAUCUCCCUUUUUUUGUACUGUUCAAUCUAUUUUGCAGACAGAAUAGCCCAUAUCCAACAUGGCUUAGGGACCUCCACUUUUGCUGCAGAGUCAGAGUUUGUGGGUGAGGAAGUUAAGUCCCCUUUAAAUGGUUCAUUUUAAAUUCCUUUUGCCCAUUGAUGCAGAGGGUGUGUUUGGGUGGAGGGAAGAGGGCAACCAGUUGUGACCUGGCCACGUGCCCAUACUGGCUUAUAAAAUCCAGCUCGGGGAGACUGGGGCCACUGCUGGUGAAGGGUUUCAGUACCUCCCUUCAGGAGGACAGGGUUCUGGACAUUUUUAAGUCUGUGACUGUCCACCCCCACUCAAGAAAAUAUUGCUUGACACUGAAUCUCCAGCCAAUUUUCAUCCUUCUCUAACCCUUCCUCCGCACCCCACCUCCCUCCCACCCUUUCUGGGGAAGGUCAGUGAAAGGGUGUUUGCCCAGCAGC